rnacentral:rRNA from 1 species
AUACGGAGGAUGCGAGCGUUAUCCGGAUUUAUUGGGUUUAAAGGGAGCGUAGGCGGGAGCUUAAGUCAGCGGUUAAAUGGUGCGGCUCAACCGUGCCCUGCCGUUGAAACUGGGUUUCUUGAGAGUGCAAGAGGCGGAUGGAAUUCAUGGUGUAGCGGUGAAAUGCUUAGAUAUCAUGAAGAACUCCGAUUGCGAAGGCAGUCCGCUGGGGCACGUCUGACGCUGAUGCUCGAAGGUGCGGGAAUCAAACAGGAUUAGAUACCCUGGUAGUCCGCACGGUAAACGAUGAUUACCCGCUGUCGGCGGCAGACAGUCGGCGGCCAAGCGAAAGCGAUAAGUAAUCCACCUGAGGAGUACGCCGGCAACGGUGAAACUCAAAUGAAUUGACGGGG